CGAAACCACAGCCAAGGGAACGGGCUUGGUAAAAUCAGCGGGGAAAGAAGACCCUGUUGAGCUUGACUCUAGUCCGACUUUGUGAAAUGACUUAGGAGGUGUAGAAUAAGUGGGAUCCGUAUGGUGUUGGUGACAUAGCACUACCCUUACUAUCAUUGUACUUAUUCUUUUACGUGUAAAUUCAGACUUCAAGGAUUUGUGUUCAUGAUUCUAAGAUAUAACGUGUAUGAUAAUAUAGUAAACAAUAUUAUUGAUCAUUGUUAAAGAAGUUACCACAUGAUUAUAAGUUGCUAGUUUGGCUGGGGCGGUCCAUCUUUCAUUGAUUAUUGCUCGUUUCCUAUCGCGACUUUCUUGAGAUGAGACGUCUAAGGUUGACCGUGUCGGAAUGAUCUUGCUUGAUUUUGAUUUUCGGUACGAAGAUUAAACGUGCAUGCAUGACCUUUCUUUUACCUUACAAUUUGAUUCUGAAAGACUUUGCGCUAGUGGUGUCACAUAAUUUGACACAAGGAUUUGGGUGUUAUACCUGCUAAAUGUUGCUAAUCUAAAUUGAUUUUUGAUCCUUCGAUGUCGGCUCUUCCUAUCAUUGAAGACGCAGAAGUCUCACAGUGUCGGGAUUGUUCACCCGCCAAUAGGGGAACGUGGAGCUGGGGUUUAGACCGUUGUGGAGACAGGUUAGUUUUUACCCUACUGGAUGAUAUGACCAGAUACCUGCGAACAGUAAAUCCAAACUUAAUUACGAAAAGGAACCAUUUGGGUUCUGAUACUUGGGUAAAUGCCGGCUAUUUUUGAAAAAGAAAUUUUCUUUUUUCCCCUACCGAAAGAAUUCGGAAAAAAAAACGGGGGGCAUGU
rnacentral:rRNA from 1 species